GAGAGCUGCGGAAGUGAACAAGUCAGCGGCAAAGCAAAGGAGUCUCGUCUAAGUUAGUUUGAGUCACCUAUGCAUGUUAGUGGAUGUUUCAAGUGUGUAACUGAUGACAUACCAACUUCAAGAUCCUUGCAUCUACUACCUGUAUACCUUAGCCCUCCAAUAAAGCUGCACUCUGCACUGUCUUCACUACCUUUGCCAGAUCAUCAUAAAGUUCCCACAUACAUGGAGCUCUUCGGCAGUAGGCAGUGUAAUGUCCAAGACCGUGUUUGGUUGAGCUAGCCUUGAAAGCGAUCACUCCUUUUAAGGUCAGUGUCUUUCCUUGGGGAGCCACAACAGAGGGACAUUCACACAAAGGAAAUUCAGUUGUGUUUGCUAUAUUUUGACAACUGCAAAGACAGAAUUGGAUCUUUGUCACCUAAUUCUAAAUCUUUUUUCUCCUGCUUUGCUUUU